UCGUUGCUUGUGACCUGCUGAUUCUUCUUAAACUGUCGUUUCACUUAUUCUGACAUUUAUAUCUUAUCUUUCUAACUUGAUUAGAAGCAUCUUGAGGUCCAGGGCCAUGCCUGUAGUUUCUAGGUAUGCUCUACAAUGGUUUCCCAAAUGGAAUCAGGUGAAUAAACACAUAUUAAUUAAUCUGAGAUUUUCUUGAAUGGAAGGAGUCAAAGAAAGAGGAUUCCUUCUGAGUAAGAAUCAAGGCCACUAAAAAAUCACCUUCCUAGUUUACAUUAUAUAAUCUUUAUUUACCUGUAUAAAGAUUUUAA
rnacentral:lncRNA from 1 species